rnacentral:rRNA from 1 species
UUCCGGUGCUUGCCGCAGGGGAAUCAAUCAAAAAUGGGGCCGCGCGGGUGUUUCUUUUCUUCUUCUGCGCUUAUAGAGGACGCCGGUAAUAGAUUUAAAAGGGGCACACUGGGGGGGCCAUCUAGUUUUCCAACCAUCCAGGGGGUGAAAUUUCUUGGGAGUCAAGUUGGAAGGGCCUAACUAUCGGCGAAAAGUAUUUUUGCCAAGGAUUGUUUUUUAAUAAAUUCACAGAACGAAAAAGUUUAGGGGGAUCGGAAGACCGAUUCAAAUCCCGUUCUAAGUUCUUACCCAUAAAACUAUUCCCGAACUCGGGGAUCGGGACGGUGUUUAUUCCUUGCCCCGUUCGGGCACCCUUACGAGAAAAUCCAAAAGUGCCUGGGCCUCCCAGGGGGAGUUUGGGUCGCCAAGGCUGAAAACUUAAAGGAAAAUUGCCGGGAAGGGCCCCCCCCAGGGGGUGGAGCCUGCGGCUUUAAUUUGACUCAACACGGGGGAACUUCCCCGGGUCCAGACACAAUAAGGAUUGAACAGAUUGAGAGCUCUUUCUUGAUUUUGUGGGUGGUGGUGCAUGGCCGUUCUUAGUUGGUGGGGUGACUUGUCUGCUUAAUUGCGAUAACGAACGAGACCUUAACCUGCUAAAUAGCCCCGCAUUGCUCCGGCAGUGCGCUGGCUUCUUAGAGGGACUUUCGGCUCAAGCCGAAGGAAGUUUGAGGCAAUAACAGGUCUGUGAUGCCCUUAGAUGUUCUGGCCGCACGCGCGCUACACUGACGGGGUCAGCGAGUUCCUUGUCCCAAAAAACCGGGUAAUCUUGUUAGCCCCCGUCGUGCUGGGGAUAGAGCAUUGCAAUUAUUGCUCUUCUAGUAUUUCUCUUUAAUCGCAAGUCAUCAGCUUGCUUUUUUUAUUCCUCUCCCUUGCACACACCGCCCGUCAAUGGCGAA